rnacentral:rRNA from 1 species
CGGAGGAAAAGAAACCAACAGGGAUUGCCCUAGUAACGGCGAGUGAAGCGGCAACAGCUCAAAUUUGAAAUCUGGCUCUUUCAGAGUCCGAGUUGUAAUUUGCAGAGGGCGCUUUGGCUUUGGCAGCGGUCCAAGUUCCUUGGAACAGGACGUCACAGAGGGUGAGAAUCCCGUACGUGGUCGCUAGCUAUUGCCGUGUAAAGCCCCUUCGACGAGUCGAGUUGUUUGGGAAUGCAGCUCUAAAUGGGAGGUAAAUUUCUUCUAAAGCUAAAUAUUGGCCAGAGACCGAUAGCGCACAAGUAGAGUGAUCGAAAGAUGAAAAGCACUUUGGAAAGAGAGUCAAACAGCACGUGAAAUUGUUGAAAGGGAAGCGCUUGCAGCCAGACUUGCUUGCAGUUGCUCAUCCGGGCUUUUGCCCGGUGCACUCUUCUGCAGGCAGGCCAGCAUCAGUUUGGGCGGUGGGAUAAAGGUCUCUGUCACGUACCUCUCUUCGGGGAGGCCUUAUAGGGGAGGCGACAUACCACCAGCCUGGACUGAGGUCCGCGCAUCUGCUAGGAUGCUGGCGUAAUGGCUGUAAGCGGCCCGUCUUGAAACACGGACCAAGGAGUCUAACAUCUAUGCGAGUGUUUGGGUGUCAAGCCCGAGCGCGUAAUGAAAGUGAACGGAGGUGGGAACCCGCAAGGGCGCACCAUCGACCGAUCCUGAAGUUUACGGAAGGAUUUGAGUAAGAGCAUGGCUGUUGGGACCCGAAAGAUGGUGAACUAUGCUUGAAUAGGGUGAAGCCAGAGGAAACUCUGGUGGAGGCUCGCAGCGGUUCUGACGUGCAAAUCGAUCGUCAAAUUUGGGCAUAGGGGCGAAAGACUAAUCGAACUAUCUAGUA